GCUUACAUUGGAGGUAGGUUUAUACAUUAAAAUACUUAAGAUACUUAUCUGGUCCGCUUGUCUCCUAAUGUGUUGAUAUUUAUAAUAGGUUCUCGAUGCAAAUAGCUGCCAUGAACAAGCUACAUAAACGCCAUGAAUGCCAUUUCAAAGUAAAGAUUCCUUUUUUUUCUAUUUAAAUUUAUACUGCUUAUUUCUGUUCUGCAACUUGCUAUCUCUAUAAUAUCCAUGGUAUAACAAGAGAAACAUGUAGUAGUUAACUUCUUGGUUUUAGUCAUGUUGCUCGUUUGUUAGGAUAGCGAUGUUAACCAAUUCUAAAACUUCUAACUUCUUUAAUAUGAUUGGAGCUAUGAUGUAAUGUGUUGGUGAAUACAAUACGAGUUGCUUAUUUUCCCUUUUCUUUUCUUUAUCCACUUUCAUUCACAUUGUAUUUCUGCCUUGUUUUUAUUCUAUUGUUCAUCUUUUUCUUCCUUCUUGAGUUCGAUCAAUAGCAUAUGCAGAAUUGAGUUUGUCCAACAUUCUCCCAGUGAUGUGAACAAGCUUUUGGUUAUGAAGAUUACGACGAUGGUCCACUACCCAAGGCGAGAAAGAUCAGAAGCACCAAAGCUGCUAUUACUUCUCCUAGUUUGACUCUAUCAAGUACCAAAGCGGGAAGUAGAAAGGAAAUAGACAUACAUAUGAUAGAGAACUGUGAGAAACUCAAAAUUGGAGGCAUGGAUACAUCUGAACCUCAUUCAAGUGUUAAAGGAAAAAUCCAUCAAGGUAGUGCAGUAUACAAGGCAUAUAGCUCAGGAGACUAGUGGCGAGGUAGUAUAUGGCAUGAGAAGGCAAACAACUAUUCUUUGAACGCUUGACUAGAGAUUAAGUAGUUGUUCAGAUAUCUGGCAUGUGAAAAAUUUCAUCAUGAUCAAGAGUUGGAGAAACUUUCAUGGCGCCAUUUAUAUAUAGUAUUAUAGCUAUUUUAUAAUGCCAGUUAUUAGACGACAAAUUACGCUAGUUAUUAAAUUCAAAUAUGUUACCUUUUUGGUUAUG